rnacentral:rRNA from 1 species
GCGCGAAACCUCCGCAAUGUGAGAAAUCGCGACGGGGGGAUCCCAAGUGCCAUUCUUAACGGGAUGGCUUUUCAUUAGUGUAAAGAGCUUUUGGAAUAAGAGCUGGGCAAGACCGGUGCCAGCCGCCGCGGUAACACCGGCAGCUCUAGUGGUAGCAGUUUUUAUUGGGCCUAAAGCGUCCGUAGCCGGUUUAAUAAGUCUCUGGUGAAAUCCUGCAGCUUAACUGUGGGAAUUGCUGGAGAUACUAUUAGACUUGAGAUCGGGAGAGGUUAGAGGUACUCCCAGGGUAGAGGUGAAAUUCUGUAAUCCUGGGAGGACCGCCUGUUGCGAAGGCGUCUGACUGGAACGAUUCUGACGGUGAGGGACGAAAAGCUAGGGGGCGCGAACCGGAUUAGAUACCCGGGUAGUCCUAGCUGUAAACGAUGCGGACUUGGUGUUGGGGUCCUUUGAGGGCACCCAGUGCCGGAGAGAAGUUGUUAAGCCUGCUGCUUGGGGAGUACGUCCGCAAGGAUGAAACUUAAAGGAAUUGGGCGGGGGAGCAACC